UUUGCAGAGGAGGUGGCUCUGUGCCUGGCAGGACGAUGUCGAAAGUUCCCGGACAGCGGGGGAGAGAAGGAGGAACAGAAUAAAAAAAAAAAACACGAAGAAAAAUCUCAACCAAGCGUCUCGGCAAUCUGGAGUCUGUCGGAAGAACUAGUUCGAGGGCACUACUCAGUCUUCCGCGAAAACCGCAAGAGUAAGAGCCCUGCCCUCACAGCGAAAGGCUGAUACUAAAAGGAAAUUAAGAUGUAAAUGGGUUUCUCUGGGCUGGCGACGAGCGGCACUGUGUUGUAAAUAAAUUGCUUCUCAUUUGUGUGCUGCUAAUAAAACUUAAGCGCCUUG